UUGAUGCACAGUUUUCUUUAUUUACUUAUUUUGGCUACAUUGCGCCAAUUGCGCUUCCAUAGAAUAAAGAAACGCGCUUCCGCGCGCUUGCCGACUCGAUCGCAAGGGGACAGCCUGAUCAACAUCAAUAUCAGCAGCAAUGGCGGAUUUGCGCUUGCCGUGGCGCUUGCGAAGUUUUCAAUAGUUUUCGCCUUAUAAGUGAUUCUUUUGCUAUUUUAACGUGUGGAGGUUCAUUGUACGUUUGUUUUUUCAAGUUUGGCAUGUGUUUUAACACAUGUGAAGGUGUAGUCUUUUCUUCUUCAGCGGAUAUAUGUACAAGACCCCGUUCACCGUCUAUCAGGUAAGAUGUGUACGUAUGCUACACGCAAGCGUAGUGCUUCAUUAAGCCACAGUGCACUACAAAGUUAAGCAUGAACGGUACACAAAAUUCACAAGUUCUAAGUAUUGCCAAGAACAACCAUUGAUUGGCGAAGUUCUCACAGGUGUUGCAGAAGUUGUUGGGCGCGGCAGUGCUGAACGUAGCGUUAGCGGCUUAAAUCGUGUUUUUUUACUAGUAACAACGUGUCACUAUUUCAUAUUAUUGGCGGCGUCUCCAGGACACCAAAUCGGUAACGGGGACACCAGAGCUAGAACCCGGACUGGUCCAUGGGUUGGGGCUCGCCGAGGCCUGCGCGUGCUAGUAGUAUAUCUAUGAUGCCCGUAGGCUGUGUGUAAGUCGUACUUCCCGAAUUUUCUGACGCAUUUUAAGAUCAGCUGUCCGCUUUCGCGGACAAGAAAGCAGGAGUCAGGGUGGUCCGUGGGUUGGGGCAACAUAACCUGCUUCCAGUUUGGGACCGCCCUCCUUCCAGUCUAAUGCUCUCCUGAGGCCUCUGUUUGCCGGUUACAUGUGCCCUCCUGGAGCAGUACUUGUAAAUGAAUCCGAUCUAUCGUCGCAACGAAAAAAGCGCCCCGCGACUUCUACAACACCAGUCAGAACCUUGCCCAUUGGUUUACCUAUGUGUGGCCGCAAAUACCUGAAACUCAAUGCCAGUUCAACAUAUUUGUUGGCAAGGGUGUCAGGUCGUUGCUUUGUGUGGAAUCGGCCUUUUCUCAAUUCUUAAGAAUUUAACUGGAAUGCACCUGACCAGUGCUGCUCUGUGGUGCUUGCCACCAAUCCCUUGGACAGGGAAGACAUGAGUAUCCCUGUGCAUACACUUUAUACGCAGUAGUGUGACCGCUUCCUUUGGGAAACUACCACGUUAGCGAUAUUGUGAGCGCAAUGUGGCUUUCCUUCAUCUUCCUCAUCCGUACGUAGUGUGUCGCUUCUUCCUCGCCAUAGCUCUAGCUCGGCAAGAAUAAAGCGGUUCCUUAGAAGUGCUGGGGUUCUGCAUACCAAGGGCGUAUAAGGUAACAGUGCUUGUGCCUUUAAUAUGUCGCAUUCGAUCAUUUUGAGACGUGGUGGUGUUCAUGCGUUAGCACAAUUCCAGGACAUCCACAAUGUAAGAGGUACAUGAUUCUCUAAUUGUAUACUCUCUCCAGGCCUUUCUCACAACCUCAGCACAAGUAGUGGGAGCAUAAAAAAACUGACAAAGCUGGUGCAUGAAUGUUGCCCAGUCAGAAAGAUCUGGCUCUUGGAUCAAAGCCAAUUUUUUUUUUACAUUGUAGAGGCAGACGGGCAUGCUGUUGAAGUUUCUAAGAACUGUCCCACCAUUGCUGACUCUGUUGUACAUUUAUCAAACCACUUGAUUCUCACCAAGCUCAAGCUAUGGUGACAAAGACGCGCCACAUGCUUUACAGUCACAUAUUGCACUCGCAAUACAUCUGUUAUGCCAGUUUGCCGAAAUGAGCAUGCACAGUAGUGACGAAUUCACUAUGCGUGCACAGGGAUUUGCCUUUCCUGUCCUAUGGGCUGUUGGCAAGCAUCACAAUGCUACACUCGUCAGGUACACCUCAGCUUUCAGUAUGUUUACAUUCGGUUGCAUGAACAUGGAGGGAGUGCGUUCGCUGUAAUCAGUACCACACAUUUUGCUAAUGUAGGCUUGAGUGGCUUUCCCAUGCCUCCACUAAAUAGUCGGAAUACUUCCAUGUAUGAUAGAAUGAUGAGCAUUUAACCUCCAGACAUGCAGCAGUCUUUACACCACUGCAAGGCAGAAGCAGCCUUCUCACCAUGUUCACGCUCAAAUAAAUCCCAUUAUUAAGGCAUUUUAUGGGCCUCCCAAACCGCCUGCACCACCUGAAUGAUGUCACUUGUUGUUGCACCUGGCUGUUCAUUUCAUUUGGCAUCCUCUGUUCGCACAUAUUCGUUUCCAAUAAUUCAAGAAAAUUGCAGGGCUGGUUCGCAAUCUUUUCUGUUUUCCUUAUUUUUUUUAUGGCCUUGUAAAACUGAGAAACGAUAAUGAAAAAAAGAAACAAAGGCUGCCUUCCUGUUCACCAGUGAAAGCAUUGUUGCUUAGAAAGAGGCGCAGAAAAAGAUGUAUAUGCAUGUCGGACAGCCUGCACAAGGUUUUAUCUUUGUCUCUUCAAACAUCGCGUACCUGCGUCAGUGGACUCGCUGUUCUGUAGCAUUAUCCCUGGCAGCGGAAGCACUGUCCCAGAGCUCUAAAGAGUCAUCGGAAGCACAGUGCUAAACCUUCAUCCUUGAAAUGUGAAGAACGUCACUGGACAGGACGAGAGAUGACAAGGUCACAAAGCUGCACCCAGGUAGAGGCAGAUUCCAAAAAUGCUUGUGUACUUAAGUAUAGCUGCACAUUACAGAAUCCGAGGCCCUCAACAAUCAUCCGUAGCCCUCUUGUAGCCCACGAGUUCCUUAUAUUUUAUUGGGAUUGAAGAGCAACGUUUGUGCUAUAUCCCUCUAUUUCAGACGAAAUAAUGUGCAUGCAAAAUUAUAUCUUCAUUACUUUA